CCCAGCUAAUACUUACAAGGAUUCCUAAAUCAUUGUUAAGAAUAAUGAAAAUUACUGCAGUUUCUACUGGUCAUAGUUUUCUGGCUGGUUGUAUUUGUGCUAGCUAGGUACCAAGCUAAAGCUAGUUAUCCCAAACACCGCUUCCCAUUAAUUUCAAUGGUGGGAGGCGGUGAAAAAGUUCAACUUUACGCAAAUCACCAGAGACGACCACUGGGCGAUGACCAAUCAUAUCGAGUGGUUCGUCCCAUGACGAAUUUGACGCUAUGCGUCCCAAGGCUAGAGACGUUCUUCAGCAAAGAUGGCUGACAAAAAUACUAGGACGGAAGCAAAUGGACUCCUGAAACAACCCGCAAACCAGGCUGUCGUCUUGUGAAACAGUGGAUGUAAAGAAUCUAGUAGCUAGCUAAAGCAUUUACUGCAAAUUGAAUGUAAAAUUUGUUCAGCUUGCCUUGCUGAUAUUUGCCAUGCAAUGGAGAUAGCUAGCUACGUUCUUGCUUAUUGUGCAGUGGAGGAUAAAAAAAAUACCUGUAUAUGCCUAUGGAUGUGUAGCUAGCUAUCUAGCCGAUCUGUGUAUGGACCCAAACGUUUGGUAUACAUAUUUGUUCAGAACCAAGCUAUCAUAGCCAUUUGUAUUAA